rnacentral:tRNA from 1 species
UGAUAUGGCUCAGUUGGUAGAGCAAUUGCUUCGUAAUCAAUAGGUCGGCGGUUCGACUCCGCCUAUCA